ACUAGAUACAAAAGCAAACAAAUACCUCCUAAAAUCAACCUUUUAUGGCUAUCCACAAAUACCAGCUGACUAGAUAUUACUAUUAGGCUGUCCCUGAUUGCAACUUGCGUUUAUUACUUGGCAGAGAAAAUGGUUGGAUGUUACCCUGUGGAGGAGCUAUCCUCGUCAGAUAAAAAUAGUGGCCAUUAGUGGCAUGUAUGUAAAUUAGAGAACAAAUACUAUGUUGCAGCUUGAGGGUAAUACUUUUAUCAUAAACAGGAAAAAGAAAAGCAAUACAAAAG